GAUGAAGAACGCAGCGAAAUGCGAUAAGUAAUGUGAAUUGCAGAAUUCAGUGAAUCAUCGAAUCUUUGAACGCACAUUGCGCCCGUCAGUAUUCUGGCGGGCAUGCCUGUUCGAGCGUCAUUACGCCCCUCAAGUCCCCUGUGGACCUGGUGUUGGGGAUCGGCGAGGCUGGUUUUCCAGCACAGCCGUCCCUUAAAUUAAUUGGCGGUCUCGCCGUGGCCCUCCUCUGCGCAGUAGUAAAACACUCGCAACAGGAGCCCGGCGCGGUCCACUGCCGUAAAACCCCCCAACCUUUUAUAGUUGACCUCGAAUCAGGUAGGACUACCCGCUGAACUUAAGCAUAUCAAUAAGCGGAGGA
rnacentral:misc_RNA from 1 species